rnacentral:tRNA from 1 species
GGCGGGCAGCAGCGGCUUCCGACGGUGAGCGCCGGACGGCGGGACGUGCCUGAAAAUCAUGGUGUCCCCGGUUCGAAUCCGGGUCCCGCCA